rnacentral:rRNA from 1 species
CGGAGGAUGCCUUGGAUUCCAGAGGCGAUGAAGGACGCGUUAGGCUGCGAUAAGCCGUGGUGAGGUGCCUAAAAACCUUUGAUCCGCGGAUUUCCGAAUAGGACAACCUAUUAGAGCCCCUUCGGGGGAGGCGAACGAGGGGAACUGAAACAUCUAAGUACCCUUAGGAGAAGAAAACAAAAGUGAUUUCCUGAGUAGCGGCGAGCGAAAUGGAACUAGCCCAAACCAUUUUGAUUUCGGUCAAAGUGGGGUUGUAGGACUUUCAACAUCUGUAAUUAUACUGAACUGGAACACGUUGGGAAGCGUGGCAAUAUACGGUGAUAGCCCAGUACAGGUAAAGUAUGUUAUGGUAGAAAGACUCCUGAGUAGGGCGGGGCACGUGAAACCCUGUCUGAAUCUGCCGGGACCAUCCGGUAAGGCUAAAUACUCCUGGAAUACCGAUAGUGAACAAGUACCGUGAGGGAAAGGUGAAAAAUGCGUUUAUAAUAGUGUGAAAAUACCUGAAACUUAUUGUUUACAAACUGUUGAAGUUUUUUAAAACGACAGCUUACCUUUUGUAUAAUGGGCUAGUGAGUUUUUUAAGAUGGCGAGCUUAAAUUAUUCUGUGGAAGCGUAGAGAAAUCAAAUACUAACAAUGUUUUUCAGUCAUUUUAAUAAGACCCGAAACUGAGUGAUCUAACCAUGAACAGGUUGAAAAUAAUUUAGUAAUAAAUGUUGGAGGACCGAACUCGUGUAUGUGGAAAAAUACUGAGAUGAUUUGUGGUUAGGAGUGAAAGGCUAAUCAAACUCAGAGAUAGCUGGUUUUCUGCGAAAUCUAUUUAAGUAGAGCGUUUUUUUUUAUUUGUUGUGGUAGAGCUCUCGAUAAGCUAGGGGGUUUUAAAAAUUUACCAAACUUAAUGAAACUACGAAUACGACAAACAAAAUUAAAGCAGACAGAUAUUAGGUGCUAAGAUCUUUUAUCAAAAGGGAAACAACCCUCAUUACUCGUUAAGGUCUUAAAUAAUUUUUAAGUGAAAAAUAUGAUAAUUAAACUAUGACAAUCAUUUGGUAGGCUUGGAAGCAGCCAUCCUUUAAAGAUAGCGUAAUAGCUCAUGAAUCUAGUUUUCUUAUGUUGAUGAUGUAUAGAGACUCAAAAAAUUAACCGAAGUGGUAAAUCAAAACGAUGGUAGCAGAACGUUCUGUAUUUUAGCGAAGAAAAGCUGUAAAGUUUUUUGAAGAAAUCAGAAGUGAAUAUACUAGCAUGAGUAGCGAAAAACAGUGUGCAAAACAUUGUCGCCGUAAGCCUAAGGGUUCUAAAACAAGGCUAAUCCUUUUUAGUAAAAAUCGAAUGAUUUUGAUAUAAGACGACCCCUAAGGUAACAUACUAAUGUUUGUGCUAAUGGGAAAUUUUUAAUAUUUUUCUUAAGAAAGUGACAGAAAUUGAUAUUUAUUAUUAUUGAUUCGUAAUAGUUUAUUAAAUUUUUCAAGAAAUAGCUUUUUAGUCAUAAAUCGUACUUUAAUCCGACACAGGUGGGCAGGUUGAGUAAACUAAGGCGCUUAAGAUAACUUUAUUGAAGGAACUCGGCAAAUUAACUCCGUAACUUCGGAAUAAGGAGUAACGACUUUUGGGUAACCAAAAAUCGUUGUCACAAAAAUGGGGAAAGCAACUGUUUAAUAAAAACACAAGUCUCUGCUAAUUUGUAAAAAGAUGUAUAGGGACUGACACUUGCCCGGUGCUGUAAGGUAAACAUAUUGUUGUUUUGGCUUCAAUAAUAAACCCCAGUAAACGGCGGCUGU